GGGCGGUUAGCUCAGUGGUAGAGCACUACCUUGACAUGGUAGGGGUCACAGGUUCGAACCCUGUACCGCCCACCA
rnacentral:tRNA from 17 species